CGAAAUCAAACAAAUAAAAAGAAAAAUAAAGAUGAUGGAACCAAAUCCAACUCCCUUAGCAGGGUCCUUGUCGUUGCUUUUAAGUACAUGCAAAUGGGCAGCUACAUAUCAAACAUUCUCUUUAUUUCCUUUUAGACUCUGCUUACAUUGUAGACAAAAGUUGGAUAAUAUUUUUAAAAACAAUCAUGGUGUCAUUUGUCAUUCACAAUGAACCCAUUCUUCAAUUUCUUAUAAAUAUACGUGAAUCAUUUGAAAGUGUUUUAUUGUUUUUAGAUAAUCCCAGCUGUUGGCCAUUUAUUACUUUCUCAAAAUUUAUGCAUUAUUAUCAUGAUAAAAAUUACUAGAAAAUAAAAAGAAAAUAUGCUCUCAUCUUCUUCGAUUUCUACUGUGGACAAGAAUGGAGAAGGUGAUUCUCUUCCUGAGGAUUCUAACACAAGGAAUCGGACGUGAUUCCUGAAGAUGUGAUGGUUGUGGAGUCAUCAUCAACGCCUUCUUUGUCAUGGAAAGAUAUGCUAGUGGAGAAAGAUACUUUUGUGCAGAACAAUACAAGAUGGCCACUUCUUUGUUGAUAAUUUCUCCCUCACAGAGCAGGAAGUCAAGAAAUCGUUUGUUGAUGAUGUUCCCUCAAUCGACUUCUCGGAGAGAGUAUAUCAGCUCUUGGAAAAGGAAAUGUCAACCUCUGUGGUUCUCAAGAUGUUGGGACGGAACCUUGGAAUCACGACUCUGCAUAAUAGAUUAUAUGGGAUUUGGAGACCGUCUAAGCCUUUUCAAUUAAUGGAUAUAGAGAAUGGUUAUUUUAUCGCUAAAUUCCAAAGCACUGAUGACUAUGAUAAGAUUCUCUCCCAGGGUCCGUGGGUUAUAUUCGGCCAUUACCUAACCGUUCAACCUUGGACCAUCGAUUUUAAUCCUAGUUUACCUUACCCUAAUAUGAUCCUCACAUGGAUUUGAUUUCCCGGUCUUCCUAUUCAUUUAUAUAAAAACAAUUUCUAAUGGAGAUUGGGAGAAUGCUAGGCAAAGUAACUAAAUUAGAUUUUAACACGGAUAACAAAGCACGGGGUCGUUAUGCUCGCAUGGCAGUUUAUGUCAAUUUAGGAAGACCUUUAAUCUCUAAGAUUCUCAUCAAUGGCAACCCUCAAAGGAUUAAGUAUGAAAACCUACCUGUGGUAUGCUUUAAGGGUGAUUGUUAUGGACACAUCAAGGAGAAUUGUUCGUCUGUCACACAUUCCUUAGAGGCGAAAGAGAAGGGGCAGACGUCGGAACAAACCUCUACAACUUCUGUGGUGGCCGGAGAUGGGGAUUAUGGUCCCUAGAUGCUAGAUGCUGGUGGAGCAGAGGAGCAGGCGCGACACCUUGGAUGGGAUAAAAAAAAGGAAAUAAUUCUAAAUAGGAGAAAAUUAUGGGAUCACGAUUUCAAUCAUUAGCAGGCCUGGAGGAGAGUUCAACGGAGGAGGAAUUGAUUAAGGAAAAUCAUGGAGAUUUAAAGAAAAAAGGGAAAGCUACUUUAAAUGAUCCUUAAGAGAAAUAUUCAACGAGUAAAAAAUAUACUAUUAA
rnacentral:lncRNA from 1 species